rnacentral:rRNA from 1 species
CCUACGGGCGGCUGCAGUGGGGAAUAUUGGACAAUGGGCGAAAGCCUGAUCCAGCCAUGCCGCGUGUGUGAAGAAGGUCUUCGGAUUGUAAAGCACUUUAAGUUGGGAGGAAGGGCAGUAAGCUAAUACCUUGCUGUUUUGACGUUACCGACAGAAUAAGCACCGGCUAACUUCGUGCCAGCAGCCGCGGUAAUACGAAGGGUGCAAGCGUUAAUCGGAAUUACUGGGCGUAAAGCGCGCGUAGGUGGUUCGUUAAGUUGGAUGUGAAAGCCCCGGGCUCAACCUGGGAACUGCAUCCAAAACUGGCGAGCUAGAGUACGGUAGAGGGUGGUGGAAUUUCCUGUGUAGCGGUGAAAUGCGUAGAUAUAGGAAGGAACACCAGUGGCGAAGGCGACCACCUGGACUGAUACUGACACUGAGGUGCGAAAGCGUGGGGAGCAAACAGGAUUAGAUACCCUAGUAGUC